UUAGCCAAAGAAUUAGAUGCAACCUCAGCUACUACUCCGGGACUUCUAGGAGAAGACUGCGAGCUCUCUGGGUUGUGCUCCUGCAGGCGCAGAUUCUGAAGGAUGCAUUUCAUCAUGGAGAAUUAUUAGAGGAAAUGUGAAUAGCUCAACACAGCCCUUCUGUUACUUAUUACCUGUGUGUCUUUGGAAGCACAAAGUAAGUGACCUAGCAAAGGACUUGAAACACAUCAUUACUUGA
rnacentral:lncRNA from 1 species